UACAGUUUAGAGACAUUCUUUAAGGGCUCUUGAAAUUGUGAGUGUGCCAAUUGUAACCAUUUUCUGUUAUAUAUAUACAGAUUGAACUAUGGUUUUUCCGUUUUAUAUUUAUUUUAUUUAGGGUCCUCUUAUCUGAAUAUAUGUUACAAGACCCUUCUCAUACAUUUUUAAAAGGUAAGUAAUUUUUAAUCAUUGUGUGCGCGUUAACACUUUUUGGUUGAGUUUUCUAGUAUGUAGAUAGAGUCAGACUGAUGGUCUGGUGAGAUGGGGCUUUGUACAGAGAAAUGCCCUCACAUAUUAAAAUAAAACAAAACAGAAAAAAAGGAAAAAUGAAAAGUAUGAAGAAAACAGUGCCCCUAAGUAACACAUGUGAUGAUAAACAGCAUAGUAUUCACUGGUCUUAUUCAAAGAAGAGGCAGAAACCUGCAAGGAUGGAAUAGGGCAAUGAAUAUUUGUAUUAAAUAUCAUGCAUUGUUUAUAAAAAUCUCUGUGUUCGAAUGUUAAUGUAACAUUAGUGUUAUUUCAAUCCUAAACUGUGGCCAAGGUUGAAACAAGAAAAUACAGGCUUCUGUUCAUUUUUUUAUUUAUCCCAGAAUAGCUAUCGGUAUACACAGUAGCAGUUUUCAGGUAUCUCUGAACGUCAAUGAAUAUAAAUUGGUAAUGAAGGGAUUAAAACAAUUACGCAAUUGGAAGAAUAAAAGAAGCAAUCUAGAGACAGUUAACAUAAACACAUUUUGUCACACUCAAACCUGUGAAAAAGAUACAUCCACUAUAAUAUCGUUUUUUUUUGUAUGAUGUACAUGAUUUCUGUGAUAUAGGUUUAAUCGAUUAUGUAUACGAAAACCAAUAUUUAAGGAAAUUACUGUAUAGCAUUCCAGAUAAAGAUUGUAUGUGCUUAUCAUUUAGCAUGUAUCUAGUGGAUAAAGAACUGACCUUCAGGGGAAAUUUUAUUUGGACUUGUCUGCUGUAGUAAUAUGUAAAGAAUUCUGUACAGAUUAUUUUCCAUCUUACAUUUUUUACAUUUUAUUUUUCUGAAAAGAAUGUUAAAUAAAGGGAAAGUGAUACAAAAAAAUAAAAUUCAAUUCAAAUAAUAGAAUAUGCAAACAAGAAACCAAACUG